rnacentral:rRNA from 1 species
AUUGAACGCUGGCGGCAGGCCUAACACAUGCAAGUCGAGCUGAGCGGCGGACGGGUGAGUAAUGCCUAGGAAUCUGCCUGGUAGUGGGGGAUAACGUCCGGAAACGGGCGCUAAUACCGCAUACUAUCAGAUGAGCCUAGGUCGGAUUAGCUAGUUGGUGGGGUAAAGACCUACCAAGGCGACGAUCCGUAACUGGUCUGAGAGGAUGAUCAGUCACACUGGAAUGGAGUACCGGUUCAUACUCCUACGGGAGGCAGCAGUGGGGAAUUGUGGACAAUGGGGGCAAGCCUGAUCCAGCCAUGUCGGGUGUGUGAAGAAGGUCUUGGGAUUUGAAAGCCCUUUAAGUUGGGAGGCGUUACCAACAGAAUAAGCACCGGCUAACGUCGUGCCAGCAGCCGCGGUAAUAC